rnacentral:rRNA from 1 species
AUUGAACGCUGGCGGAAUGCUUUACACAUGCAAGUCGAACGGCAGCACGGGGCAACCUGGUGGCGAGUGGCGAACGGGUGAGUAAUACAUCGGAACGUGCCCAAUCGUGGGGGAUAACGUAGCGAAAGUUACGCUAAUACCGCAUACGAUCUACGGAUGAAAGCGGGGGAUCGCAAGACCUCGCGCGAGUGGAGCGGCCGAUGUCAGAUUAGGUAGUUGGUGGGGUAAAGGCUCACCAAGCCAACGAUCUGUAGCUGGUCUGAGAGGACGACCAGCCACACUGGAACUGAGACACGGUCCAGACUCCUACGGGAGGCAGCAGUGGGGAAUUUUGGACAAUGGGCGCAAGCCUGAUCCAGCCAUUCCGCGUGCAGGAUGAAGGCCUUCGGUUGU